rnacentral:rRNA from 1 species
CAGUCGCCGCGGUAAUACAAAGGGUGCGAGCGUUAAUCGGAUUUACUGGGCGUAAAGCGUGCGUAGGCGGCUUUUUAAGUCGGAUGUGAAAUCCCUGAGCUUAACUUAGGAAUUGCAUUCGAUACUGGGAAGCUAGAGUAUGGGAGAGGAUGGUAGAAUUCCAGGUGUAGCGGUGAAAUGCGUAGAGAUCUGGAGGAAUACCGAUGGCGAAGGCAGCCAUCUGGCCUAAUACUGACGCUGAGGUACGAAAGCAUGGGGAGCAAACAGGAUUAGAUACCCCUGUAGUCCCUGUCUCUUAUAC